rnacentral:lncRNA from 1 species
CUUGUUAGCAUAUGAAGAAGCCCUAAUCGCAAAAUAUGAUGUCACUUCUACUGUAUUGUAUUUAGGGGCGAAUCCAUGGGUCAAGUUCAGCUAUGGCGGAUAGCGAGCGUUAAAAGCUUACUAUCUGGCCAAUGUUCAUGAUUGUGGAGUUGUUUAUUAAUAUUUAAUUAAAUAAUAUUCAAAAAAUCAUACGGAUUAGAACUAAAAGAACUAGAUACGCUACUAGAACUAGAAUUAGAAUAAGGUAGG